UACGGCGGCUAUAGCGAGAGGGAAACGCCCGGUCACAUUCCGAACCCGGAAGCUAAGACUCUCAGCGCCGAUGGUACUGCAGGGGGGACCCUGUGGGAGAGUAGGACACCGCCGGACACCAUUCACGAUGGCCACCCAGACACCUGGGUGGCCAUCGCUGUUUAACCAGGACAGUAC
rnacentral:rRNA from 1 species